AUCCACACAUCAAACGUACGAAGUGGGUUCAGUGUGACCUGUGCAACAAAUGGUUACACACAGAUUGCUCUGGCAUAGACCCUAAAACAAUUACUAAAGACACACCCUUCAGCUGUGGAUGUGAUCAAGAACAGCCAUAUUCUUUUCAAAGCACCCUCACAGCUUUGAAACAGGGGCUUUUGGUCGAGACAGUUGUGAAUAAUGAAGAAAUUGUGAAACUCCAUCAUGACCUCACAUCUGGAGCAGUGAAAUCACAAAGAAUGUUUUUACACAAGCAUCCGAAUUAUGCACCCACACUGAAAAAUCUGUGCAAACUACGCAUCUCAGU